GACGAACGCUGGCGGCGUGCUUAACACAUGCAAGUCGAGCGGAGCGGCGAACGGGUGAGUAACGCGUGAGUAACUGCCCCCAUCUCUGGGAUAACAGUUGGAAACGGCUGCUAAUACCGGAUAGUGGGGGAUGACUCGGGUCCUAUCAGCUUGUUGGUGGGGUAGUGGACUACCAAGGCGACGACUGGUCGCCGGCAUGAGCGGGCGACCGGCCACAUUGGGCUGAGAUACGGCCCAAACACAUACGUGGGGCAGCAGUGGGGAAUCUUGCGCAAUGGUGGAGACCCUGAUGCAGCAACGCGCGUGCGGGAUGACGGCCGUCGUGUUGUAGCCCGCGUUCAGCCAGGACGCGGUAGUGGCAGAAGAAGCACCGGCUAACUACGUGCCAGCAGCCGCGGUAAUUC
rnacentral:rRNA from 1 species